AUGAGCCACCGGAUGAUGAUGAAUCCGGUGAAGGUGGAGGGCGAUGGGCGGGCCGGCGGCGGAGGCGCGCCGAGGCCGAUGGACGGGCUGGGCGACGCCGGGCCCACGCCGUUCCUCGCCAAGACCUACGACAUGGUGGACGACCCCGCCACCGACGCCGUCGUCUCCUGGAGCGCCACCAACAACAGCUUCGUCGUCUGGGACCCGCACCUCUUCGCCACCGUGCUGCUGCCGAGGUACUUCAAGCACGGCAACUUCUCCAGCUUCGUCCGACAGCUCAACACCUAUGGCUUCAGAAAGGUGGAUCCUGACAGGUGGGAAUUUGCAAAUGAGGGAUUCUUGCGAGGGCAGAGGCACCUUCUCAGAAAUAUUAAGCGCCGGAAACCUACACAUGGGUCUCAGAAUCAGCAAUCUCUUGGCUCCUACCUUGAGGUGGGGAACUUUGGACAUGAUGUGGAGAUAGAUCAUUUGAAAAGAGACAGGCAGCUCUUGAUGGCUGAAGUGGUGAAGCUCAGGCAGGAGCAACAGAACACAAGGUCAGAUCUGCAAGCCAUGGAAAAGAGGCUGCAAGGAACUGAGCAGAAGCAACAGCAGAUGAUGUCAUUCUUGGCGCGAGUCAUGCAGAACCCCAUGUUCAUACACCAUCUGCUCUCCCAGAGUGAGAUGCGGAAGGAGCUCGAAGAUGCCAUCUCAAAUAAAAGACGGCGCCGCAUCGACCAGGGACCUGAAGCUGUCGAUAGCAUGGGCACUGGCUCUACCCUGGAGCAAGGGUCACAGGUAAUGUUUGAGCAGCAGGAGCCAGUGGACUCGCUCGUGAACGGUGUCAUAUCCGAUCUUGAAAGCUCGUCCGUCGAUACAAAGGGAGCUGAGGUGCAGCAGAGUGUCGCUUCCAGCCGUUCGGAGCAACUGAGAGGCAGGCCCAGUGGAGAGCUAAAUGAUGAUUUCUGGGAGGACCUGCUGCAUGAAGGGGGGCUCGGCGAGGAGGCCAGCAACCUGGUGGUUCCAGAUGACAUGAACUUGUUGGCUGAGAAGCUGGACUAG
rnacentral:rRNA from 1 species